rnacentral:rRNA from 1 species
GACGAACGCUGGCGGCGUGCUUAACACAUGCAAGUCGAACGAAGAGCGAUGGAAGCUUGCUUCUAUCAAUCUUAGUGGCGAAUGGGUGAGUAACGAGUAAUCAACCUGCGCUUAAGAGGGGGAUAACAGUUGGAAACGACUGCUAAUACCGCAUACGAUCUAAUCUCGGCAUCGAGGAUAGAUGAAAGGUGGCUUCUACAUGUAAGCUAUAAGAGAAGGAGGUGAUUGCGUCUGAUUAGAUAGUUGGAGUGGUAACGGCCCACCAAGGACAUGAUCGGGAGCGGGUCUGAGAGGAUGAACGGCCGCAUUGGGACUGAGACACGGCCCAGACUCCUACGGGAUGCAGCAGUGGGGAAUCUUCCGCAAUGGACGAAGGUCUGACGGAGCAACGCCGCGUGAGCGAUGACGGCCUUCGGGUUGUAAAGCUCUGUUAAUCGGGACGAAAGGCCUUCUUGCGAAUAGUGAGAAGGAUUGACGGUACCGGAAUAGAAAGCCACGGCUAACUACGUG